rnacentral:rRNA from 1 species
UCCGCCUGGGGAGUACGGCCGCAAGGCUGAAACUCAAAGGAAUUGACGGGGGCCCGCACAAGCGGUGGAGCAUGUGGUUUAAUUCGAAGCAACGCGAAGAACCUUACCAGGUCUUGACAUCCUCUGACAACCCUAGAGAUAGGGCUUCUCCUUCGGGAGCAGAGUGACAGGUGGUGCAUGGUUGUCGUCAGCUCGUGUCGUGAGAUGUUGGGUUAAGUCCCGCAACGAGCGCAACCCUUGAUCUUAGUUGCCAUC